CUCGUCUCUGUGUGUUUAUCCGGUUGAGGACUGAAGACUCGAGAUCUCCUCAUCCUAUUGCCACUGACAUUAUGCCAGUCCUCAAGCCUGGGUCACCCCUCCACCAAUCACCUUCUCUGCUCUUCGUUUGGUGAAGCUGAACACCACUACAGUUAGAUGUUUUUGCCUCCUACCUUAAUGAGAAAAAGAAGGUUUCUUCAUCUCCCCUACUCCAUAUCCAUACAUAUGAAACCAUGAUCUCUGCUUUUACUUCAGUCUCUGAGGAAGAAUUCGUUUUUCCAGGGGGCAUGUGGAACCAGCUCAAACACCCUCUCAAGAACUGAUUGGCAGGUUUUCGGUGUGAACAUUUACACAAUAA